UGGCAACUUACACAGCCGCCACUGGUAAACAAUGUGUGCACAUCGUCGCAUACAAACAGGCGCGGAACGACGCGGGAAGAAAAGACAGAGAGGUCGCUUAUCAAAAUCUUCCUCCCUCAUUUUUU
ensembl:ncRNA R07B1.19 ncRNA